rnacentral:pre_miRNA from 1 species
AGUGCAGGGAUGAAGCACUGUAGUGUCGGGAGGUCCAGCUUUAAAAAGCUGGACCUCCCGACACUACAGUGCUUCAUCCCUGCACUC